GACUCUCAGCAAUGGAUAUCUCGGCUCUCGCAUCGAUGAAGAACGUAGCGAAAUGCGAUACCUGGUGUGAAUUGCAAAAUCCCGUAAACCAUCGAGUCUUUGAACGCAUGUUACGCCCGAGGCCAUCCGGCUAAGGGCAUGCCUACCUAGGCAUCA
rnacentral:rRNA from 15 species